AGAUCAGUAGGUAUGUACGUUGACGCGCGCACGAGGUGUCGGUCUGCCGGUGAUGGAAGCCGCUGCCGUCUGCCUAGUCCCAGCUAGCUACAAAAAGGGGGUUGUGUUGAGUCUCUGUCAUUGAGACUUUGAGAGAGAAAGGGAGAGAGAGAGAGGGAGGGGGGAGGGGGUCUGAUUUUGGUACCUGCUGGUGAUGUGCAGCGGUGGUACGGCUGGUCCUGUCACCGUCGCCGUGGUGACAGGAGAGUGCAAGGUGACUGCACUGCAGGCAGGUGAGGAGGCGACGAGAGCUGCGCUGCUGACUGCAAGGUGGAGCAGCAGGGUCGGGAGUGGGGAGCAGGGGCAGGACGAACGCCGGUGGUGAGAAGAGAUCAAGCUGUGGAGAGCGACAGUGCGAAAGAGAGGGUGAGCUUAGUGAGUGUUUAGCCCUCAAACGGAUCUGAUCUAGUACUCCUACAU
rnacentral:lncRNA from 1 species